GAAGUGGAAAAAUUGAAUUUUAUCAGCUGAGGCAGCAACAAAUAAAGCCUCACCGGCCGAUAACAUAGAUUUACAUGCUACUUCGAGUUCAAUUACGACUUCCACAACAACAUCAUCAGCAACAACAACUUCAAGUAUCAUACCAGGACAGAGUUCACAUACCAGCAAUAACAUGGCAUUGAAUUCAACUUCGAUCUCCACCGCGACCUCCACAACAACACCACCAACAACUGCAACUUCGACAUCAAAGAGCGGAGCAGAGAAGUGCGUCACAGGAACCAAAAUGCUUUUAAUAA